CCGUGCAGCCGGGGAGAUAGCGGUGCCCUGUACCUGCAAUCCGCUCUAGCAGGGGUGAUAUCUUGUGUCGGAUAUUUUCUUGCGAAGCUGCCCCUGGUAAGUGGCGAUGACGUUCUGGUCUUACGCAAUGGGAAUCUACGAAUCGUGUCAGGUCGGGAACGGAGCAGCACUAAGUAGAACCUCUCAUGUGCCGUAAGGGUGCCGGGACUGAGUUAACUGCCAGGGUAACGUUUGUGAGAGGUAUACAAAGCAAGAUGCACGG
rnacentral:SRP_RNA from 1 species